rnacentral:rRNA from 1 species
UACGGGGGGGGCAAGCGUUGUUCGGAAUUACUGGGCGUAAAGGGCUCGUAGGCGGCCAACUAAGUCGGAUGUGAAAUCCCCAGGCUCAACUUGGGAACUGCAUCCGAUACUGGAUGGCUUGAAUUCGGGAGAGGGAUACAGAAUUCCAGGUGUAGCGGUGAAAUGCGUAGAUAUCUGGAGGAAUACCGGUGGCGAAGGCGGCAUCCUGGACCGACAUUGACGCUGAGGAGCGAAAGCUAGGGGAGCAAACGGG